rnacentral:lncRNA from 1 species
GCUCCUUCCCUGUAGAAUCUGGAGGAAGCUGCCACUGCCAACGCAAGGGAAAGAUUUGCCUAAAAUAUUGGCUGCUGUCGUGGAUCCUGGGACCUCUUGGGCCAGGUGCCUUCUGCACUGUGAUGAGAUUGUACCAAUAAGCUCAAUAAAAAGAAAAAAAAAAGAAUAGAAGUCCAUUGUCACAAGCCGCUGAAAAUUCAGAAUCACUCUUCUGCAGCAUUAUUGAUUCCACAAUCCAUGGUCCAAUUCUGGACUUUUGAAGUAGGACCCUGAUACGAUACUCUGCCAACAUCUCAGAAUUAUUUGGAAAC